GCCGGGUGCCGUGGCUGGUGCCUGUGAUCCCAGCGGCGGGGGAGGCUGAGGCCGGCGGAUCGCUUGAGCUCAGGAGUUCUGGGCUGCAGCGGGCUGUGCCGAGCGGGUGUCCGCACUGAGUUCGGCAUCGAUAUGGGGAUCCCGCGGAAGCUCGGGGUCCCCAGGUUGCCUAAGGAGGGGUGAACCGGCCCAGGCCGGAAACGGAGCAGGUCAAAGCUCCCGUGCCGAUCAGUAGUGGGAUCGCGCCUGUGAAUGGCCCCUGCAGCGUAGCCUGGGCGAGACAGUGAGACCCGGUCUCUU
rnacentral:SRP_RNA from 1 species